rnacentral:lncRNA from 1 species
AUGCGGUACUCUAUCGGAUCUCUUUAAUGGUGCCUUUAUUGGCUCCAGAUUCGAUUUACUAAUCGAACCCAAUUCUGUAUGUGUCAUUCCUUCCAUCUCAUGAACUUCAUCAAGUUUAGUUUUACAGAUAUUAGCUUCUUCACCAAGGAACUUCUUUUCCAAAAAGAUUGUCCGGUUGCUGACAAACACCUUUUGUUCUGUAGUGAGGUA